CCCCCAGGAGCCCAGUGUUGGCUUGUUCUGGUCAAAACACUGCAAUCAGCCAGAGAACUUGUACUGCCCCUCUGUAUAAGAUUUGGACCCUCUUACAUUCUGCUGAAAGCACCUUUGGAAAGGAACAGUACCUUAUUCCUGGGGCACAGGUAGAGACGCUGGAGGGGUCCCCCAAAUGCAGGCAGGAAUUUGUAUCACAAAUAAGGCACCUUUGUCUUCUACGCCUUCAAUACAAGCUGCUAAAAAUGGGCUUUUCUUUCAGCCCAGAGGACAAAAACUUAAAAACGAAACAACAAACCCAACCAUCUCCCUGUGCCUGUGCUGCCACCUCCCUCUCUCUCCUCUGCCUGCGGCAGGCAGCUCGGGCUGUGAGGACCCCGUGCCGAGACUGAGGAAGCAACUGUAUAUACGGAUGGGAGACAAGCUGGGUGCUCAUCAGGAGGAAACAGCUUUCAGUGGCUUCCAGAUGGGGCCCUUUCCCACCUGUACACCCUAGGACGCUGAAAACUACUGCAAGCCAGGAGGCCUCACACAGGAACUCAACAACCCUAGCAAGAAUAUAAUUGCCUUCAGAGCUAGCAGUACCGGCAUGAGAGACUGCCUUCAGUAGGAACAGACUUUCCACCAUCUCACGCCUCACCCAGGUGCAUGACUUCGUUUGCAAAGGCCCAAGGGAGUGAAACAGCUCUGUAAGGCCUUAGGAGAAGGGAAAUUGCUAUCAGACUCCUGUUGAUUCCACAGCCCACCAAGGACGCUGCUGGCUUCUACAGGCCAUCCCCCAUCUGUUGGAAUAGCGGGAAGUUUUGCUUUAGCAAUAAAAAAUAAAAAAUGCUGGAGUCCAACUGGUGACUGAAGUCUGGUGCCAGGCUCUGCUGCAGAGACAUCACAGCUGCCUACAGUGCCUGCUCUGAAAGAGGUGCUCAUUAAACAUUUGCCUUGGGUUUAUUUUCCCUGUUUGCUGUACCCAAGCAUUCACAACAAAAAUUCCAUAAGGGAGAGCUGC
ensembl:lncRNA